rnacentral:rRNA from 1 species
AUGCAGUCGAACGAUGAAUAUCUAGCUUGCUAGAUAUAGAUUAGUGGCGGACGGGUGAGUAACAUUUAGGAAUCUGCCUAGUAGUGGGGGAUAGCUCGGGGAAACUCGAAUUAAUACCGCAUACGACCUACGGGUGAAAGGGGGCGCAAGCUCUUGCUAUUAGAUGAGCCUAAAUCAGAUUAGCUAGUUGGUGGGGUAAAGGCCUACCAAGGCGACGAUCUGUAACUGGUCUGAGAGGAUGAUCAGUCACACCGGAACUGAGACACGGUCCGGACUCCUACGGGAGGCAGCAGUGGGGAAUAUUGGACAAUGGGGGCAACCCUGAUCCAGCCAUGCCGCGUGUGUGAAGAAGGCCUUUUGGUUGUAAAGCACUUUAAGCAGGGAGGAGAGGCUAAUGGUUAAUACCCAUUAGAUUAGACGUUACCUGCAGAAUAAGCACCGGCUAACUCUGUGCCAGCAGCCGCGGUAAUACAGAGGGUGCGAGCGUUAAUCGGAAUUACUGGGCGUAAAGCGAGUGUAGGUGGCUCAUUAAGUCACAUGUGAAAUCCCCGGGCUUAACCUGGGAACUGCAUGUGAUACUGGUGGUGCUAGAAUAUGUGAGAGGGAAGUAGAAUUCCAGGUGUAGCGGUGAAAUGCGUAGAGAUCUGGAGGAAUACCGAUGGCGAAGGCAGCUUCCUGGCAUAAUAUUGACACUGAGAUUCGAAAGCGUGGGUAGCAAACAGGAUUAGAUACCCUGGUAGUCCACGCCGUAAACGAUGUCUACUAGCCGUUGGGGUCCUUGAGACUUUAGUGGCGCAGUUAACGCGAUAAGUAGACCGCCUGGGGAGUACGGCCGCAAGGUUAAAACUCAAAUGAAUUGACGGGGGCCCGCACAAGCGGUGGAGCAUGUGGUUUAAUUCGAUGCAACGCGAAGAACCUUACCUGGUCUUGACAUAGUGAGAAUCCUGCAGAGAUGCGGGAGUGCCUUCGGGAAUUCACAUACAGGUGCUGCAUGGCUGUCGUCAGCUCGUGUCGUGAGAUGUUGGGUUAAGUCCCGCAACGAGCGCAACCCUUUUCCUUAUUUGCCAGCGGGUUAAGCCGGGAACUUUAAGGAUACUGCCAGUGACAAACUGGA